AUCUGAAGAACGCCGUUGAGAGACUACACCGCCCAUGAAACCCUGCAGUAUAACCUUGAAGUACCAUCACGGAGAGAAACAGUGCCAUCUCAGGGCCAGUGGCGCAAUGGAUAACGCGUCUGACUACGGAUCAGAAGAUUCCAGGAGCCAAUGACCAAUAGGCCAGAGCACUGGAGACUUUCUGGAAGAAAGAGGUACUGAAGCAUCCAAUAUGGAAAUAGUCAAGAUAUAGAAAAUGCAAGCUCUUGAAGGAUUCAAGAUAUAGAAAGGAUCUGAGAUAUGGAAAGAACUCAGGAUAUAGAAGGAUCUGAAAUUUUGGAGACUAAGAUAUGAGAAUAUUUAAGACACAGGUAGGAAGGACACCUUCAAGGAAUUUGCUGGCUACCCUUAUUUUUAUAAUAUGCUUGCUAACAUCAGCAUGGGAGCAUCUUGAGUUUUUAGCCUACUACACAAGCAGAUAUUGAACCAACAUUAACAGGAAUUAGUGUAGUCUGUUUUCCAAUAAGAGAGUGUUCAAGGAUCUUCAUGUAUUCCAGUUUCCUCAGAAACACAUGCU
ensembl:lncRNA PRMT5-DT PRMT5 divergent transcript